rnacentral:rRNA from 1 species
GUGGGGAAUAUUGCACAAUGGGCGAAAGCCUGAUGCAGCGACGCCGCGUGAGGGAUGACGGCCUUCGGGUUGUAAACCUCUUUCAGCAGGGACGAAGCGCAAGUGACGGUACCUGCAGAAGAAGCACCGGCCAACUACGUGCCAGCAGCCGCGGUAAUACGUAGGGUGCAAGCGUUGUCCGGAAUUAUUGGGCGUAAAGAGCUCGUAGGCGGCUUGUCGCGUCGGCUGUGAAAACCUGGGGCUCAACCCCGGGCCUGCAGCCGAUACGGGCAAGCUAGAGUUCGGUAGGGGAGACUGGAAUUCCUGGUGUAGCGGUGAAAUGCGCAGAUAUCAGGAGGAACACCGGUGGCGAAGGCGGGUCUCUGGGCCGAUACUGACGCUGAGGAGCGAAAGCGUGGGGAGCGAACAGG